rnacentral:rRNA from 1 species
GGACCCGACCGCUAUCGGGGUGGGGCUAAGCCAUGGGAGUCGCACGCUCCGCCGCUGCGGGGCGUGGCGCACGGCUGAGUAGCACGUGGCUAACCUGCCCUCGGGAGGGGGAUAACACCGGGAAACUGGUGCUAAUCCCCCAUAGGGGAAGGCGCCUGGAAGGGUCCUUCCUCGAAAAGGCCCGGCAGGGUUAGCGCUGCCGAGCCGCCCGAGGAUGGGGCUACGGCCCAUCAGGUAGUUGGCGGGGUAACGGCCCGCCAAGCCGAUAACGGGUGGGGGCCGUGAGAGCGGGAGCCCCCAGAUGGGCACUGAGACAAGGGCCCAGGCCCUAAGGGGCGCACCAGGCGCGAAACCUCCGCAAUGCGGGAAACCGUGACGGGGCCACCCCGAGUGCCCCCUUUCCGAGGGCUUUUCCCCGCUGUAGGAAGGCGGGGGAAUAAGCNGGGGG